rnacentral:rRNA from 1 species
UACCAGCACCCCGAGUGGUCGGGACGAUUAUUGGGCCUAAAGCAUCCGUAGCCGGUUUUACAAGUCCCCCGUUAAAUCCAACUGCUUAACAGAUGGGCCGCGGAGGAUACUAUAAGACUAGGAGGCAGGAGAGGCAAGCGGUACUCAGUGGGUAGGGGUAAAAUCCGUUGAUCCAUUGAAGACCACCAGUGGCGAAGGCGG